AGAAGAAGAGGCGGCAGAAGAAGAGGAUCGUGCUAAGAAGAGGAAACCGGUGAAGAAAGCUUCAGCAAAGGUGACUGAAGUUAGUAUGAUGACUCGGGGGAGAAAGAGAAAAGAGAACAAUGACGAAGUGUGUGCUAAGAACAAAAGACCUUUGAAGAAAACGGCUGGAAAGUCUAAGUAGACAGACAAAGAUGACAAGGG